GCCGAUACAAGCAGUCAGUUAUCUGCCAAACAGCCAAGCGCAGCGGAUGGCGUCCACAGCUGCCACCAUUGGUGGGCCAACCUGACUGGACUGAAAAAUGCGACUGGUGGCUGGACCUCCCCUCCAGCGACUUCUGCUACCUGAUCAUCCCACAGCCCACCAAGACCUGGCAGGAGGCGCAAGACCACUGCCAAGCCCACCAAGGGAACCUGCUCAGCAUC